rnacentral:rRNA from 1 species
GCCUACGGGGCGCAGCCGUCGGGCCUCUUGCGCCCUGGCGGCCCCUCUGGCGCAGUGACGCCGCGUGCAGGAAGAAGGUUUUCGGAUUGUAAACUGCUUUAGACAGGGAAGAAAGAAAUGACGGUACCUGUAGAAUAAGCUCCGGCUAACUACGUGCCAGCAGCCGCGGUAAUACGUAGGGAGCAAGCGUUAUCCGGAUUUAUUGGGUGUAAAGGGUGCGUAGACGGGUAUACAAGUUAGUAGUGAAAUCCCUCGGCUUAACUGAGGAACUGCUACUAAAACUAUAUAUCUUGAGUACUGGAGGG